UACGUAGGGUGCAAGCGUUAUCCGGAAUUAUUGGGCGUAAAGAGCUCGUAGGCGGUUUGUCGCGUCUGCUGUGAAAACUGGGGGCUCAACCCCCCAGCCUGCAGUGGGUACGGGCAGACUAGAGUGCGGUAGGGGAGAUUGGAAUUCCUGGUGUAGCGGUGGAAUGCGCAGAUAUCAGGAGGAACACCGAUGGCGAAGGCAGAUCUCUGGGCCGUAACUGACGCUGAGGAGCGAAAAGCAUGGGGAGCGAACAGG
rnacentral:rRNA from 1 species